rnacentral:rRNA from 1 species
AACGAACGCUGGCGGCAUGCCUAACACAUGCAAGUCGAACGAAACCAAGGCUUCGGCCUGAAGUUUAGUGGCGCACGGGUGCGUAACGCGUGGGAAUCUGCCCUUGGGUUCGGAAUAACUCAGAGAAAUUUGAGCUAAUACCGGAUGAUGACGUAAGUCCAAAGAUUUAUCGCCCAAGGAUGAGCCCGCGUAAGAUUAGCUUGUUGGUGAGGUAAAGGCUCACCAAGGCGACGAUCUUUAGCUGGUCUGAGAGGAUGAUCAGCCACACUGGGACUGAGACACGGCCCAGACUCCUACGGGAGGCAGCAGUGGGGAAUAUUGGACAAUGGGCGAAAGCCUGAUCCAGCAAUGCCGCGUGAGUGAUGAAGGCCUUAGGGUUGUAAAGCUCUUUUACCAGGGAUGAUAAUGACAGUACCUGGAGAAUAAGCUCCGGCUAACUCCGUG